AUAGCCCUACGGGGCGCAGCAGUGGGGGAUAUUGCACAAUGGGGGGAACCCUGAUGCAGCGACGCCGCGUGGGUGAAGGAGCGUUUCGGCGCGUAAAGCCCUAUCGGCAGGGGAGAAGGAGGACGGUACCUGACUAAGAAGCCCCGGCUAACUACGGGCCAGCAGCCGCGGGAAUACGUAGGGGGCAAGCGUUAUCCGGAUUUACUGGGUGUAAAGGGGGCGCAGACGGCAGCGCAAGCCAGGAGUGAAAGACCGGGGCCCAACCCCGGGACCGCUCCUGGAACUG
rnacentral:rRNA from 1 species